rnacentral:rRNA from 1 species
CCUACGGGUGGCAGCAGUGGGGAAUAUUGCGCAAUGGGCGAAAGCCUGACGCAGCGACGCCGCGUGAGGGAUGAAGGUCUUCGGAUCGUAAACCUCUGUCAGCAGGGAAGAACGGUCACUGUGCUAAUCAGCAGUGAAUUGACGGUACCUGCAAAGGAAGCACCGGCUAACUCCGUGCCCGCAGCCGCGGUAAUACGGAGGGUGCGGGCGUUAAUCGGAAUUACUGGGCGGAAAGCGCUCGUAGGCGGUAUGUCAAGUCAAGGGUGAAAUCCCCGCGCUCAACGGGGGAACUGCCUUUGAUACUGGCAAACUGGAGUGUGUGAGAGGUUAGUGGAAUUCGAGGUGUAGGAGUGAAAUCCGUAGAUAUCUGGAGGAACAUCAGUGGCGAAGGCGACUAUCUGGCACAUAACUGACGCUGAGGAGCGAAAGCGUGGGUAGCAAACAGGAUUAGAUACCCGGGUAGUC